rnacentral:rRNA from 1 species
UACGUAGGGUCCGAGCGUUGUCCGGAAUUACUGGGCGUAAAGGGCGCGUAGGCGGCCUUAUAAGUCAGAUGUGAAAGCUCUGGGCUCAACCCAGGAAUUGCAUCUGAUACUGUAGGGCUUGAGUUCGGUAGAGGAGGGCGGAAUUCCAGGUGUAGCGGUGAAAUGCGUAGAUAUCGUAAGGAAGACCAGUGGCGAAGGCGGGUCUCUGGACAGUUCCUGACGCUGAGGCACGAAGGUCAGGGGAGCAAACGGG